AGCCAUCUAGCUACUAACUACGGACCCGUAGGUCUAAAGUGGACUACUCACGAGUGAUUGGAGAGGCAAUGAUGUUGAUGUAGAAGCCCUCCAGCUCCAAAGUCCCCUCCGACACGGCAUCGGGAAGGGUCUCCAGAUGAGAUCUCGCGGAAACGGAAGCUUGCAGCGGCGGAAAAGUUGUUUCGUGGACGCUCUAAUUUUUUCAGGGAUUUUAGGGAAUAUAUAGGCCAAAGAGCUAGGGCAGGGGAGCGCCAGGGAGGCCACAAGCUUGGUGGCCGCGGGCCCCCUGGCCGCGGCGACAGGGCUUGUGGGCUCCGUGUGGGCCUCCUGCCUUGGCCCUCAAGUCCCCCGAUCUUCUUUUGUUCUGGAAAGUUUUAUUUCGGGGAUUUUAUUCCGUUUGGACUCCGUUCCAAAAUCAGAUCUGAAAAGAGUCAAAAACACAGAAAAAAUAGGAAGAGGCACUUGACACUGAAUUAAUAAGUUAGUCCCAAAAAAGAUAUAAAAGGUAUAUAAAACAUCCAAAGUUGACAAGAUAACAACAUGAAACCAUCAAAAAUUAUAGAUACGUUUGAGACGUAUCAAGCAUCCCCAAGCUUAACUCCUGCUCGUCCUCUAGUAGGGAAGUGAUAAAGAAUGAAUUUUUGAUGCUUUCAUGCUACCUAGCAUAUAUGUCCUUUGUAACUCCUCUUAUGUGACGUGAAUGUUCAGAUCCAUUAGAUUCAAAACAAUAGUUUGCUAUUGACGUGGAGACAAUAAUACUUCAAGCAAACUAGCAAGGUAAUCAUGAAAUUUCAAAAUAACAAGGCCAAAAGAAAGUUAUCCCUACAAAAUCAUAUAGUCUGGCUAUGCUCUAUCAUCCUUGCACAACGAAUUUAAAUCAUGCACAACCUCGGUAUUGGCCAAGUAAUUGUUUUCACACCUUUAAUUUCUCAAACCUUUUCAACUCUCACGCAAUACAUGAGCGUGAGCCAUGGUUUUAGCACUAUAAGUAGAAUGGAGUGUGGUGGAGGUUGCAAGGCAAACAAGGAGAAGAUGGUCACAUUGACUAGGCAUAUCAACGACCUAUGGAGAUGCUCAUCAAUAGAUAUCAACGUGAAUGAGUAGGGAUUGUCAUACAAAUGAUGCACUAGAGCUAAGAGUAUGUGAAAGCUCUUAAAGAAAACUAAUGGGUGUGCAUCCAACUUGCUUGCUCACGAAGACCUAAGGCAAUUUUGAGGAAGCCUAUCAUUGGAAUAUACAAGCCAAGUUAUAUAAUGAAAAUUUAACACUAGCUAUAUGGUGGUGACAAAACGAGAGACUUUCAAUCAUGAAGAUCAUGGUGCUUAAUAAGCACAAGUGUGGAAAGGAGAUAGUAGCAUUGUCCCUUCUCUCUUUUUCUCUCAUUUUUUUGGUGGGCUCUUUGGCCUCUUUUUUUUGGUGGGCAUCUUUGGCCUCUUUUUGUAAAUGGGCUUCGCUGGCCUAUUUUAUUUCCUCACAUGGGACAAUGCUCCACCAAUGAUGAUCAUCACACUUACAACUCAAAACUUAGAGCAAUGAUGACUCUAUAUGGAAUGCCUUCGGCAGUGUACCGUGACAAUGAUCUAGCAUGGCAUAGGCAUCAAUGGAAACAUCAUGCUAACUAUCUUAUGAUCAUGCAAUGGCAAUGUAGAAGUGGUGGCACAUGUCAUGGUGGUAGUUGCAUGACAAUAUAUCUCGGAAUGGCUUUGAAAAUGUCAUAGUAGGUAGGUAUGGUGGCUGUUUUGAGGGAGGCUAAUGGUGGGUUUUAUGCACCGACGAAAGUUGCACGCCACUAAAGAAGAUAGUGAUGGUGGAAGGUGAAAGUGCAUCUAAACCAUGGAUUCAACAUUAGUCAUGAAGAACUCAUAUACUUGUUGCAAAAUUUUUAGUAGUAAUCGAAACAAAGCAUUCAACGCAUACUCCUAGGGGAAGGGUUGGUAGGUAUAAACCAUCUCGCGAUCCCGACCGCCACACAAAGGAUGACAAUCAAUAAACUAAUCAUGCUCACAUUUCAUCACAUAACGGUUCACCAUAUGUGCAUGCUACGGGAAUCACUAACUUCAACACAAGUAUUUCUAGAUCCACAACACCUUACUAGUAUAACUUCAAUAUUACCACAACCACAACUCAAAACUAAUUGAGAUGAAUCAAACUUCUCUAACUACUCAAUGCACAUGAAGGUGGAAGUUUUCAUAUCCCUUUGGAUAACUACCCCUUUUGAGACUACUUUCAUAGCAUAGAUCAACUACCACGCCACGCGCUUCCGUGCUCUAAAAGAUAGAAGUGAAACACAUAGAGCAAAAUCAACUAGCUCAAAAGAUAUAAGUGAAACACAUGUGAGCUGAAUUGCCUAACCAGAGGAUAUAAGUGAAGCACGACAAAAUCACGGUGAGUGCAUGUCUCUCUCUCUAGGUGUGCAGCAAGGAAGAUUGUGACACAACAAAAAUAAAAGACUCCUACAAUACAACACGCUCCAAGCAAAACACAUAACAUGUGGUGAAUAAAAAUAUAGCCCCAAGUAACGUUACCGAUGGAUUGAAGACGAAAGAGGGGAUGCCUUCCCAGGGCAUCCGCAAGCUUAGGCUUUUUCGGCAUCCUUGAAUCAACUUGCGGUGCCUUGGGCAUCCCCAAGCUUGAGCUCUUGCCACUAUUUAUCUCUUUGUCCAUAAGAACUUCACCCAAAACUUGAAAACUUCACAACACGAAACUUAAACAGAAACUCGUGAUAUCAUUAGUAUAAGAAAGCAAACCACCACUUCCUUAGGUACUGUAGCAAACUUAAAUUCUACUUAUGUUGAUGUUGGGUUACUGUAUUUUCAAUCUUCCAUGGCUAAUAGCCCCCGAUACUAUCCAUAGUUUCAUCAGAAUAAGCAACCAACUGAACAAAAACAGAAUCUGUUAACAGCAGACCAGUCUGUAGAAAUAUGUAUACUUCGUAUACUUCUGGUACUUCAAAAAUUCUGAAAAAUUACGACAAUCUGAAGAACUUGCGUAGCAAUCAACAGCAAAAAGAAUCAACUCAAAAUCUCUCACAGAAAAGAAAUGAAAAUUCUUUUUGUGAGCAGAAAGUUUCUGUCUUUUCCAGCAUGAUCAAACGAUCAUCCCCAAGACUAAUCAUAACGGUUUCACUUGGCACAAACGCAAAACAAACACAAAAAACACAAUCAUAACAGAAUUAUGAAAGUGUGGAAAACACAAAACAGAAAGAAAAAAGAUAGAUUCAUUGGGUUGCCUCCCAACAAGCGCUAUUGUUUAACGCCCUUAGCUAGGCAUAAGGUGAUGGAAUCACGUAUAGUCACCUUUGGUGCUCAAACCAGAAGUAGCCCUCAUCGUAGAUUCAUAAGGCAAUCUUAUUUUCUUUCUAGGAAAAUGCUCCAUGCCCUUAUUUAAAGGAAAUUGAAAUCUAAUAUUCCCUUCCUUCAUAUCGAUGAUAGCACCAAUAGUCCUUAGGAAAGGUCUACCAAGAAUAAUGCGACAUGAAGGAUUGCAAUCUAUGUCAAGUACAAUGAAAUCCACGGGUACAUAGUUCUUAUUUGCAACAAUAAGAACAUCAUUGAUCCUUCCCAUUGGUUUCUUGACAGUAGAAUCCGCAAGAUGCAAAUUAAGAGAACACUCCUCAAUCUCAUGAGAACCAAGAAUAUCACAUAAAGACUUUGGAAUCGCGGAAACACUAGCACCCAAAUCACACAAAUCAUUGCAUUCAUAGUUUUUAAUAUUGAUUUUGAUAGUAGGUUCCCACUCAUCAUGAAGUUUUCUAGGUAUAGAGACUUCUAAUUCGAGUUUCUCUUCAAGAGAUUUCAUCAUAGCAUCUACAAUAUGUGCGGUAAAGGCUUUGCUUUGGCUAUAAGCAUGUGGAGAGUUUGCAAUGGAUUGCAUCAAGGAAAUGCAUUCAAACAAGGAGCAACUAUCAUAAUUGAAUUCCUUGAAAUCCAAAUUGGGAGUUUUAUUACUACCCAAUAUUUUGAUUUCUUCUACUCCACUCUCCACACCUUUAUUAUCAAGAUAGGUAGACUCCGAAUCAUUGGGGCAUUUUUCAACGAAAGUGGAUUCAUAUCCAGCCCCUUCACAAUAGGUUUGACACGCGAAAACAAAGAUUCAAGAGGAGUCACACCAAGCACUUUAAGAUCUUCGUGAUUUGCAUCACUAGAACGCACCCUUUUAAACCAUUCAUGCGUAGCGUGAAUUUGGGCGGUUCUUUCUUUGCUCUCAUUCAUGGAGACACGCAUAGCUUUUAAAGUUUCAUCCAAGUUGACCUCGGGAGGAGCACAUCUAACUUUCAAAGCAUCAAUAUCACAAGACAUCCUAUCAACGCUCUUAGCCAAAUCGUCUAUUUUGAGUAGUUUUUCCUCUAUGGACGCAUUGAAAAUCUUUUGAGAGUUGAUGAACUCUUUGAUAUUACUCUCUAAAUCAGAGGGUAAUUUGUUGUGAUUUCCAUAAGUGUUGUUGUAGGAAUUGCCAUAAUUGUUAGAGGAGUUACUAGGAAAAGGCCUAGGAACAUAGUUUCCUCUAAAAGCAUUGUUGUUGCCAAAAUUGUUCCUACCAACAAAAUUAACGUCCAAACUAGCGUUGCUACUCUCAAUCAAGGAAUAUAGUGGCAUGUCAUUAGGAUAUAAAGGAGCAUUUCUACUAGCAACCAAAUUCAUCAACUCGUCCAUCUUAGCACUAAGCGAGUUAAUUUCUUCUAUAGCGUGCACCUUUUUGCUAGCACGUGACCUUUCAAUGUGCCACUGAGAGUAGUUGGUCAUGAUAUUGUCUAGGAGUUUUGUAGCUUCUCCUAACGUGAUUUCCAUGAACGUUCCACCUGAGCCAGAGUCCAAGAUAUUGCGAGAAGCAAAAUUCAAACCAGCGUAAAAGAUUUGUAUAAUCAUCCACAAACUCAAGCCAUGAGCGGGACAAUUUCUAAUCAUUAACUUCAUCCUCUCCCAAGAUUGUGCAACGUGUUCAUGAUCAAGUUGCUUGAAAUUCAUGAUAUCGUUACGGAGAGAGAUAAUCUUAGCCGACGGAAAAUACUUGGAUAUGUAAGCAUCUUUGCACUUAUUCCAAGAAUCGAUACUAUUUUUAGGCAAAGAAGAAAACCAAGUUUUCGCACGAUCUCGCAAAGAGAACGGAAAAAGCUUCAAUUUAACAACAUCAUUAUCCACAUGUUUCUUCUUUUGCAUAUCGCAAAGUUCAAUGAAAGUAUUGAGAUGGGAUGCGGCAUCUUCACUAGGAAGGCCAGAAAAUUGCUCUUUCAUAACAAGAUUCAGCAAGGCAGCGUUGAUUUCAUAUGAUUCCGCACUAGUGGCGGGAGCAAUCGGAGUACUAAUAAAAUCAUUAUUAUUAGUAUUCGAGAAGUCGCAAAGUUUGGUGUUUUCAGCCAUGAAGACUUCAACAAACAAACAAGAACACAAGCAAGCAAGAAGACUGGCAAAGGAAAACGGCAAAAGGCAAAUGAAAACGGCAAAGGAGAAAGGCAAAUGAAAACGACAAAUGUGAAGUGGAGGAGAGGAAAACGAGAGGCAACUGGCAAAAAAGGUAAAUGAAAGAGAUGAGUUUGUGACACUUACUUGGAUAGAUCUUGACUUGAUCUCUCCCCGGCAACGGCGCCAGAAAUCCUUCUGCUACUGCAACAACAUACCUUCCCCAGCAACGGCGCCAGAAAUCCUUCUCUUGCGGGCAACGCCUAUAGGGAUUUCCUUGGAAAAUAUGCAAAGGAUUCCCCCUCGGCCUUGGAGCCUUGCGUUGGUGUUCCCUUGAAGAGGAAAGGGUGAUGUAGCACAGCAGCAGUAAGUAUUUCCCUCAGUUUGAGAACCAAGGUAUCAAUCGAGUAGGAGGAUCGCGUCAAGUCACAAGUACCUGCACAAACACAAAGAGCUUGCACCCAACACUAUGAAGGGGUUGUCAAUCCCUUAUAGAUUUUUUGCAAAGUGAGAACUGAAAGCAAAAAGUAAACAAAGCAAAGUAAAAGUGAAAGCUGAGAUGAUAGUUGUGAAUAGACCCCGGGGCCGUAGUGUUCACUAGUGGCUUCUCUCAUGAAAGCAAGUAGACGGAGGGUGAACGAAUUAUUGUCGAGCAAUUGAUAGAACCGCGCAAAGUGAGGAAGUUAUCUAUGGCAAUGAUCAUAUCUAUAGGCAUCACGUCCAAAACAAGUAGACCGAUACUUUCUGCAUCUACUACUAUUACUCCACACGUCGACCGCUAUCCAACAUGCAUCUAGUGUAUUGAGUUCAUAAGAACAGAGUAACGCCUUAAGCAAGAUGACAUGAUGUAGAUGGAAAAUCUCAAAUCUAUGAUGAAAGCCCAUCUUGUUACCCUUGAUGGCAACAACACGAUGCGUGCCUUGCUGCCCCUUCUGUCACUGGGAAAGGUCACCGUAUGAACCCAAAACCAAGCACUUCUCCCAUUGCAAGAAUCAUAGAUCUAGUUGGCCAAACAAAACCCAAGACUCGGAGAGACUUACAAGGAUAUCAAAUCAUGCAUAUAAGAAAUCAACAAAGACUCAAAUAUAAAUCAUAGAUAAUAUGAUCACAAAUCCACAAUUCAUCGGAUCUCGACAAACACACCACCAAAGAGGAUUACAUCAGAUAGAUCUCCAUGAAGAUCAUGGAGAACUUUGUAUUGAAGAUCCAAGAGAGAGAAGAAGCCAUCUAGCUACUAACUACGGACCCGUAGGUCUGAAGUGGACUACUCACGAGUCAUUGGAGAGGCAAUGAUGUUGAUGUAGAAGCCCUCCAGCUCCAAAGUCCCCUCCGGCAGGGCACCGGGAAGGGUCUCUAGAUGAGAUCUCGCGGAAACGGAAGCUUGCGGCAGCGGAAAAGUGGUUUCGUGGACGCCCUGAUUUUUUCUAGGAUUUUAGGGAAUAUAUAGGCCAAAG
rnacentral:lncRNA from 1 species